CCAGCAAAUAGGGCACUUGGCGCUGGGAUGGGCAACCUCUUGUAGGUUUCAUGCUGUUUAAUAGCUCAUUAGUUCUGCAAGGUAGCAAUUUUCUCCUCUUCUUUUUUAAUGCAUGGGAGAUGGAGAAACGAGUCAGGAAGCAGCUGAUGGAAAACAGCCUUGCCUCCAUCCACCUUUUGCUAUUUACCUAGUUCCUUCAUAAUCACUCUACUUCUGCUUACAAGUGGGGAGCCUGACAAAGAUCUGUGCCGAGUGAAUUGUUGCCUCCAAUAAGCUUUUUUAAAAAAGAUUUUGGAGUAUUCUUUGUUUAAAAAUAGUGCCUCCCAAAUGCCUCAAGCAGGUGCUUUUCUUGUUUUGUCCAAGAAGGUCCUUAUUAACUCAUCCCAGCCCUGUUCUUAAGUGAGCUUUCCAGUUUGACAGCUGUCAUUCUGCACAUUGGAAAAUAUCUACCGUGUGUGGCUCAAGAAGAUUCUGAGGAUACAUUUUGAUGGGUUCUUCAAGUUCUAUUUUCUUUUAGAUUGCAAUGAGCAAAUAAUAGGUCAUUUUUGUUGACCCACAGGAGAUACACGUAGUGCUUAAAUCUGGCUAGGAGCUUAAAAAAAAAUGCUGAGAUCUGAACCUCGUUUUCAGUGCCAGCCCUUAUCUUGGGAUGGAUAAGGAAAGUGCAUCUGAGCAUGCACACUCCCCCCCCCAAACAGUUUUGUGUCAGGGCUUCCAGGUCAGUGCAUCGAAACUGGAAUGCAAUCUAGUUUCUAGUUUUGGAAGCACAUUUCUUCUCUCCAUAACAAGCAUUUUAUGGCAUGUAAUGAUAUGCCUGGUUUUUCUUGUGUGCACAUUUAAUAGCUUCGGUACAUGCUGUUGUUGUUGUUUAGUCGUUUAGUCGUGUCUGACUCUUCGUGACCCCAUGGACCAGAGCACGCCAGGCACUCCUGUCUUCCACUGCCUCCCGCAGUUUGGUCAAACUCAUGCUGGUAGCUUCAAGAACACUGUCCCACCAUCUCGUCCCCUGUCGUCCCCUUCUCCGUGUGCCCUCAAUCUUUCCCAACAUCAGGGUCUUUUCUAGGGAGUCUACUCUUCUCAUGAAGUGGCCAAAGUAUUGGAGCCUCAGCUUCACGUUCUGUCCUUCCAGUGAGCACUCAGGGCUGAUUUCCUUAAGAAUGGAUAGGUUUGAUCUUCUUGCAGUCCAUGGGACAUAGAAGGCUUCAGUACAUAGAAGGUUUCUACUCUGGGUGGCAAAUUUCAAAGAUGCAAUACAUCAGUAGUGAGCAACUCGCGACGCAGUCAGGCCUCUGACUUUUCCGUUGCAGUUCAAAAGGCAAGCCUCUGCUGAGACUUGGGGCUUAUCCACACCGACCAUUUGCCUCACUCUUUCCAGGCAGUGGUCUAUGCUUUAAUGUUCCAUGUCCAAGCAAGGAGGUGUUUUGGGGUGUGUGUGUGAUUUUUCUCCCUGUGAAAACCCACUUUUUAAAGCUGAAUUGGAGCUGCUGUCGUAAAUCUGUGUAAGCUUUCAAAUUACAAAGAGCCCUUCUGCUUGAUGCUUUUGUUUGUCUCUUAAACAUGCACCCUCUUACGCAUACAGUGGUACCUUGGUUCUCAAACUUAAUCUGUUCCGGAAGUCUGUUCCAAAACCAAGGAACGCUUUCCCAUGGAAAGUAAUGCAAAAUGGAUUAAACCGUUCCAGACUUUUAAAAACAACCCCUAAAACAGCAAUUUAACAUUAAUUUUACUAUCUUACGAGACCAUUGAUCCAUAAAAUGAAAGCUAUAAACAAUAUACUGACUAUGAAGAAAAGAGUAUUGUAGAUUAUAAAAAAUUUCUUACUUGAACUGAUGAGUCAUUGUUUGGAUGGGGGGCUUUUAUCCAUUUCCAGUCACACAAUCAAUCAAUCAAUCAAUCAAUCAGUAGCUGAACUGGGAUCCACACAGUCACACAAAAAAAUUAACAGAAAAAGCCUC